GACGAACGCUGGCGGCGUGCCUAAUACAUGCAAGUCGAACGCAGUGGGGACGGGUGCGUAACACCUGGCUAACCUCCCAUCAGAGGGGAUAACACUUGGAAACAGGUGCUAAACCGAUACUGAUGGAUGGACCCGCGGUGCAUUAGCUAGUUGGUGAGGUCACGGCUCACCAAGGCCACGAUGCAUAGCCGGCCUGAGAGGGUGAUCGGCCACACUGGGACUGAGACACGGCCCAGACUCCUACGGGAGGCAGCAGUGGGGAAUCUUGGGCAAUGGACGAAAGUCUGACCGAGCAACGCCGCGUGAGUGAAGAAGGUUUUCGGAUCGUAAAACUCUGUUGUUAGAGAAGCGGUAUCUAAACAGAAAGCCACGGCUAACUACGUGCCAGCAGCCGCGGUAAUUC
rnacentral:rRNA from 1 species